rnacentral:lncRNA from 1 species
GGGCCAGGGGGUCUGGUUUUAUAGUCCCCUCAAGUGAACGUGAGCCAUUGGAUCAAACCGACAUUGAUUGGACGGUUAUCCUUGAUCCUUUAGGUCGGUGGAACGUCGUGUGCGAAAAGAGUCCUGAUUGGAGUACAGAGGGGGGCGAGCGCCCAGGUCCUCAGGGCGGGCGCCCUGGGCCUAGCCCCUUUCGGCAUCUGCUUCGUUCUCGUGGCUUCUGGAAUCUUCUAAAUGGUAGAAAUUUGCGCGGUGUGUUGAUAUCUCUAUGUAAUCCCGACAUGUGGGCCUUUCUUCCUUAUUUCCUGAUAACCCCCUGCAGAAACAGAUAAACAACAAAACUCGUGGAAUUCUGUUAGAUCAAACCCUAAUUCUAGGUGUUGUUUGUAUAUUGGUCAUUUCUCUUGUUUAUUUGAUAACUAAAAUUGAUACUUAAGAACCGUCAACAGGCGGGUGCGGUUGCGCGCGCGUGGGGGCUGAUGCGGGAGGCACAGAGCGCGGCGGCCGCAGCUCGAGGGCGGAGGCAGAGAGCGCGGCGGCCGCCGCUCGCCGGCAGCGACGGCCAGUGCGGCCGGGCGUGGUAGAGUCGAGGCGGGGUGCAGGGAGGCAGGGGAGUCGAGCGAGGUGGCCGGGGCAGCGUCGGGGCCACCUCGCGGGUGGUGCUCUCAGGCUGCGGCGGCGGUUGUCGUCCCUGUGGCCGGAGGCAGGGUUUGCCGGCGGUCGCCUCGCAAGUGGCCCCCCUGGGCAGCUGGGCCGGCCCACCCGUGGCCAGAGAGAGGGGGAGGUGGGCCGGCUUGAGGGUGGAGAUUUUUUUUGUUUUUUAUAUGAAUGUAUAGAUUAUGCAAUUAUUUAUAUAUAUAUUUAUAUGAAUGUAUAGAUUAAGUAAUUAUUAUUUCUUAUUUAUAAUGUAAUUAUUUAUAAUACAAUUAUUUAUAAUGCAAUUAUAUAUAUAUAUGUAUGUAUAAAAAUAAUAAACAAUUAAUAUUUGCUUUUAGUUUAAGUGUCUAUGUAUAUACAUUAUGCAUAUGCUAAGU